GACGAACGCUGGCGGCGUGCCUAAUACAUGCAAGUCGAACGAACUCUGGUAUUGAUUGGUGCUUGCAUCAUGAUUUACAUUUGAGUGAGUGGCGAACUGGUGAGUAACACGUGGGAAACCUGCCCAGAAGCGGGGGAUAACACCUGGAAACAGAUGCUAAUACCGCAUAACAACUUGGACCGCAUGGUCCGAGUUUGAAAGAUGGCUUCGGCUAUCACUUUUGGAUGGUCCCGCGGCGUAUUAGCUAGAUGGUGGGGUAACGGCUCACCAUGGCAAUGAUACGUAGCCGACCUGAGAGGGUAAUCGGCCACAUUGGGACUGAGACACGGCCCAAACUCCUACGGGAGGCAGCAGUAGGGAAUCUUCCACAAUGGACGAAAGUCUGAUGGAGCAACGCCGCGUGAGUGAAGAAGGGUUUCGGCUCGUAAAACUCUGUUGUUGAAGAAGAACAUAUCUGAGAGUAACUGUUCAGGUAUUGACGGUAUUUAACCAGAAAGCCACGGCUAACUACGUGCCAGCAGCCGCGGUAAUACGUAGGUGGCAAGCGUUGUCCGGAUUUAUUGGGCGUAAAGCGAGCGCAGGCGGUUUUUUAAGUCUGAUGUGAAAGCCUUCGGCUCAACCGAAGAAGUGCAUCGGAAACUGGGAAACUUGAGUGCAGAAGAGGACAGUGGAACUCCAUGUGUAGCGGUGAAAUGCGUAGAUAUAUGGAAGAACACCAGUGGCGAAGGCGGCUGUCUGGUCUGUAACUGACGCUGAGGCUCGAAAGUAUGGGUAGCAAACAGGAUUAGAUACCCUGGUAGUCCAUACCGUAAACGAUGAAUGCUAAGUGUUGGAGGGUUUCCGCCCUUCAGUGCUGCAGCUAACGCAUUAAGCAUUCCGCCUGGGGAGUACGGCCGCAAGGCUGAAGCUCAAAGGAAUUGACGGGGGCCCGCACAAGCGGUGGAGCAUGUGGUUUAAUUCGAAGCUACGCGAAGAACCUUACCAGGUCUUGACAUACUAUGCAAAUCUAAGAGAUUAGACGUUCCCUUCGGGGACAUGGAUACAGGUGGUGCAUGGUUGUCGUCAGCUCGUGUCGUGAGAUGUUGGGUUAAGUCCCGCAACGAGCGCAACCCUUAUUAUCAGUUGCCAGCAUUAAGUUGGGCACUCUGGUGAGACUGCCGGUGACAAACCGGAGGAAGGUGGGGAUGACGUCAAAUCAUCAUGCCCCUUAUGACCUGGGCUACACACGUGCUACAAUGGAUGGUACAACGAGUUGCGAACUCGCGAGAGUAAGCUAAUCUCUUAAAGCCAUUCUCAGUUCGGAUUGUAGGCUGAAACUCGCCUACAUGAAGUUGGAAUCGCUAGUAAUCGCGGAUCAGCACGCCGCGGUGAAUACGUUCCCGGGCCUUGUACACACCGCCCGUCACACCAUGAGAGUUUGUAACACCCAAAGUCGGUGGGGUAACCUUUUAGGAACCAGCCGCCUAAGGUGGGACAGAUGAUUAGGGUG
rnacentral:rRNA from 1 species